CAUAGACCAGUACAAAUUACUUUGUAAGGGUGAUGCUGACGACCAUGUGUCCUGUUGCAAAAAGUGAGAGUGAAUACAUGCAAGGACAGAAUUGUGAACUGAUUGAGGCAAAAGCUCGCUGGUUUGACUGUGUUGUGUGUAAGAAGAGAGAAGGUGGAGAGUAUGUUGAUUGUGCUUUAUAUAAAGAUAAAGCAAAGAGAAUAAAGAUGAAAGAUGAGUGUGACACUUACUUCCGUGGGGGUAAAACUGCUAUGUUGCAGUCACCAGGACAUGAUGAUCAGAAGUUUGGAUGUGUUGGAUGUGUCUGAUGUUGACACCUCUCACUAUGCUAACUGAAAAAAAUAUAUAGAAUUAUUAAACAAUAAAGGAAUAAAGAAACAUGAACCUGCUCA
rnacentral:lncRNA from 1 species